AACUUUUUAUCAACACAAGCGAAGACAGAAUUAUCAGACACUAAACAAGAAAACGAACGAUUAAAAAAGGACAAUUUUAAUUUUAAAAUGGAGAUGGAAAAAAUGAGGUCUUCUGUAGAUGAAGAAAUAUCAAAAAACAAAGAAUUACAACUGAAGCUGAAAAAUCUUGAAACAGAUCUUGAAAGACAA